rnacentral:rRNA from 16 species
UUUAAAGAGUGCGUAAUAGCUCACUGGUCGAGGGUUUCUGCACCGAAAAUAAGCGGGGCUAAAGCACACCGCCGAAGCCGUGGCUUCCUCCAUUAGGAGGAGGGGUAGGGGAGCGUCGUCAAUGCAUUGAAGUUGGUCUGUAAGGACUGGUGGAGCGUUGACGAGUGAGAAUGUUGGCUUGAGUAGCGUUAAUGCCGGUGAGAAUCCGGCACGUCGAAAGUCCGAGGUUUCCU